UGCACAUAAUUAAAGCACUACC
rnacentral:miRNA from 1 species